rnacentral:rRNA from 1 species
UCGCAUGGUCUUCUGGGAAAGCUUUCCCGGUAUGGGAUGGGGUCGCGUCCUAUCACCUUGACGGCGGGGUAACGGCCCACCGUGGCUUCAACGGGUAGCCGGCCUGAAAGGGCGACCGGCCACAUUGGGACUGAAAUACGGCCCAAACUCCUACGGGAGGCACCAGUGGGGAAUAUUGCACAAUGGGCGCAAGCCUGAUGCACCGACCCCCCGUGAGGGAUGGAGGCCUUCGGGUUGUAAACCUCUUUUAUCGGGGAGCAAGCG